GGGAAUGCACAAACAGGGCGUCAUUUCAAAUCGGAUGUUAAUAAGUGAAAGUGAAAGAUGUGAAGGUUUGGAUUCUUUGUCAGGUUUCUGCGUUACGGAACAACAACAGCUCGACUAUAAAGCUGCAAAAACAAUCAGAGAUUGGUCCCCUCCACCGCCAAGGAAUUCUCAACGGUAUGCAGCCUACAUCAACAACACCACAGCACUGUGGCCUGUUUGUAUUGUCGUUGAUUCCACCCCUUACUACCCCCUCAAUAGGGGCCCUGCCACUCACACACACUGUAUUGGCCGCUGAGCACGCAACCCCAGGAGUUUUAAAAGCUUGCCGACUGUCUGCUGUAUUCUAGUUGUUUUUACAAACCAAAAAGUGUAAAAGAAAACUCCAUGACAUCCUUAUUACCGAUGUCAGUCUCUCUCUCUCUCUGUCUGUAUGUGUGUGUAUGGCAGGAGCACUGAGAUGAAAGAGCAGAGGAAGUUUCUUGUGGCCUCAUGUUCCCUCACAAACUUCUCCUCACUCUCAAUAACUAACCUUCCAUGUCUGGAUAUUGUCUCGCUGCUAUUAACUAGCCAAGCAAGUGAAAAUAUUAACGUGUUGGAGUUUUUGGACAUUUAAUGUAGGUUACAGUGGAUAUAUUUUGAUGAAAAACAUCAUUGGUAAGUUGUUUCAUAGGCUGUUCUAGAUGCUGGCUAUACCUUUUUCAGAAAUACUGUUGUUUGUGAUUAGUUAUUGUAGUAAGGACAGGCCACACAUUGCUGCUUGCACACUUGUAGUUUGUUGUCAUCUGUGGGUUGAUUGUGUAGGCUGUGUCCAACAUGUCAGACUGUGUAUUCAUUUACUACCCUAUCCUUGGCUCCCUGCCCACUGAGGUUUGAGCAAAUUAUUGCACUAUAAAACCCAAUGUGUUAGUUCAGUCCACUCGAAUGUAGUAUCAUUUGGUGUGAAUAUAAUAAAAUGUGGUUAUUUAUGGUG